GAGGGAGCCUCCUUCCCGGCUGUCUGGAGGAAUUCCAGUAAGCCCCUAGCCUAGAAGUCUCUCCCUGUGCCUAUCUUUUCACCAUUAGCUAAAUUUUCCUUGGGGCAGGUGGAGGCAGCUGUGGGCUAUGCCUUGAAAGAUAUGGAGAGGAGUCCCUGUGGCAGGAGAAGAGAGAAGUUGGCCAAGGAGACUUCUAGGCUGGGGCCAGAGUGCCAGCCACAUGUUCUGGAUUUUAGAGUUUUGCAGGAUGGCUAUGUAUUGAAGGCAUGUUUUGAAGCACGUAUCCUCCAGACAGUUUCUGAGGCUGGGAAGUCCAAAGUUCAUCUGAUGGUGGCAACAGUGACCUGGGGGUUUCCCACCAUUGCGAGAUGGUGGAUGCAGAGGGAGCAGAGAGAGCAAGCACCACUCACCUGUUGAUGAAUGUUUGGGUUAUUUCCAGUUUGGGGCCAUUAUAAAUAAAGCUACUAUGAACAUUG